rnacentral:lncRNA from 1 species
GAGAUCACUGUAUUUUGUGGGAAAGAAAUUGUUCACAUGGUCCCCUAAGUAGUCAGAAACGUGGAGACCCUGAGCAGGACCAAGUUUAUCAGAAAGAUCCUGUCUCCAAGAAAAAGAGAAAUUUUUAUCUUCUCUGAAAUAAGAGGGAAUAGAAUUAAAAAGAAGCUGAAGAAGAAAUAAGGACAGUAUGCAAGUUGAUGAAAGACUAUGAGAAAUGAGGACAGGAAGACUGCCCUUCUGAACCUCCUCUCUGUCAAAGGACUUCUAGGGAUUUUCAGCAUGUGGAGGAAGAUCAGAAAGUCUCUGCGGAACUUCUGCCAAGCGGCUGAAGUCAGAGACUCUUCCCACACUCCCCUGGGCCUCGUCAAUUCUUAUCAAGGAUUCAGGGGUGGCAGCCGCAGCCUUCCCACUUCAGAAAAGGAAGCAAGUAGAGCACGGGAAAAGUAAACUAACACUGGGAAGCCCAAGGCUCCUAUCAAAUGUCAGCUCUUCUUGCCUGACCAUCAGAGAGGCUUAGGUUUGUGUGAAAGUGGGUGUCCCAGCCAGCAGUUCUCGGCUCGAUGGGUGCCAUAGAGGGGAAUGCUUCUUUCUGUGUCCCCAUUGCAAGAGGUGGGUGGGUGGGAGCCCGGAAUUAAGAAGAAUAUGUUGGGUCAAAUCUGCAAACCUUUUGACCUUCCUUCGUUCUGUCUUUAAAACCUAGUCUCACUCAUUCAGCAUAUUAGGUGCCUGUAGAGCUAACAAAGCCCAACAUCCUGGCUUGAUACACUGAAGGCUUCUUGGAGGGCUUACAAAGCAUUUUGAGGAGUUAAAUGUAAAUGAAUCAGGAACACAUGGAUUCAAUUUCCCUGGAAAUUCACAUGUGCUUGGAAAUGAAGGGGGGCAGUGUCUGGCCAAAUGUGCUUUGAUUUAUCUGACCCCAAAAUAUAUCCCUCCCCUCUCCCUUCCUCCCCUCAAAAUCAUUCAAAACUUUGCUUAAUGUCAAACUAUGGCUGGGUUCUUGAGACCCUUGAAACCUGGAGGGGUUUGAGUUCCUGGAGUUAAAAAGGGCAUUCAGGGAGCCUUUUUCCACCACCCCUGCCCCACCCCCUACUAAAAGAUCUCACAUGGUUUUCUUCUAUUUAACGGGGUUAAAUUAAGGCAAGGAUGUGAUGAUGUUAGUGCAAUCACAAAGCUAGCCACCUAUUGCAAUCUGUGGAAGCUUUUGCUUCUUGCAAUGAACAUUCUUAUUUGCAGGACAUUCUGUCAGUAAAAACCAGGUCUGCUUUUUUGAGGAAAUAAGCACUUGGAUAAAGGAGUACAAUUAUACAGCCAUUGUCAUCAUCAUCACCAUCAUUAUCAUCAUACGCCUAACAUUUGUUCAUUUAGAGAGUUUCAGAACGCCUUUUAAAAUGAUUAUCACAUUUAAUAGCCAUAAAUGUCCCUUAUAUGGAGUGUUAAAGAUUGUGUA